GUCGCGCCUGCGCAGUGUCUUUGCCCGGCGCGUGGAGGCUGUUCCGAGCCGCGCGCUAGUUACGUUCGGGUCCGAGUUCCGCGGCUGCGGCGGCGUGCGGCGCUCCCCGGUCAUGUCGUGGCUUUUCGGCCUCAACAAGGGCCCCAAGGGCGAAGGCGCGGGGCCGCCGCUGCCCUUGCCGCCCGCGCAGCCCGGAGCCGAGGGCGGCGGGGACCGCGGCGUGGGAGACCGGCCGGCGCCCAAGGACAAAUGGAGCAACUUCGACCCGACGGGCCUGGAGCGCGCGGCCAAGGCGGCGCGCGAGCUGGAGCACUCGCGCCACGCCAAGGACGCGCUGCAUCUCGCACAGAUGCAGGAGCAGACACUCCAGCUGGAACAGCAGUCCAAGCUCAAGGAGUACGAGGCCGCGGUGGAGCAGCUGAAGAGCGAGCAGAUCCGUGUGCAGGCCGAGGAACGGAGGAAGACUCUGAGCGAGGAGACACGGCAGCACCAGGCUAGGGCCCAGUACCAGGACCAGCUGGCCCGGCAGCGCUACGAGGACCAGCUCAGGCAGCAGCAACAUCUCAACGAGGAGAACUUACGAAAGCAGGAGGAGUCUGUGCAGAAGCAGGAGGCCAUGCGGCGAGCCACCGUGGAGCGGGAGAUGGAGCUUCGGCACAAGAACGAGAUGCUGCGUGUGGAGGCUGAGGCCCGAGCUCGGGCCAAGGCCGAGCGGGAGAACGCGGACAUCAUCCGAGAGCAGAUCCGCCUGAAGGCUGCCGAGAGGCGCCAGACCAUCCUGGAGUCCAUCCGGACAGCUGGAGCCCUGUUUGGGGAAGGAUUUCGUGCCUUCGUGACAGACUGGGACAGAGUGACGGCCACGGUGGCUGGGCUGACGUUGCUGGCUCUCGGGGUCUAUUCUGCCAAGAACGCCACGGCGGUCGCUGGCCGGUUCCUCGAGGCCCGGCUGGGCAAGCCGUCCCUGGUGAGGGAGACCUCCCGCAUCACAGUGCUAGAGGCGCUGAGGCACCCCGUCCAGGUCAGCAGGCGGCUCCUCAGCAGGCCUCAGGAUGCACUGGAGGGCGUCGUCCUCAGCCCCAGCCUGGAGGCGCGGGUGCGGGACAUCGCUAUAGCAACAAGGAACACCAAGAAGAACAAAAGCCUGUACAGGAACAUUCUGAUGUACGGACCCCCAGGGACUGGCAAGACGCUGUUUGCCAAGAAACUCGCUCUGCACUCGGGCAUGGACUACGCCAUCAUGACAGGCGGGGACGUGGCCCCCAUGGGGCGGGAAGGUGUGACCGCCAUGCACAAGGUCUUCGACUGGGCCAGCACCAGCCGGCGAGGCCUCCUGCUCUUCGUGGACGAGGCGGACGCCUUCCUCAGGAGGCGCGCGACCGAGAAGAUAAGUGAGGACCUCCGGGCGACCCUGAACGCAUUCCUGCACAGGACAGGCCAGCACAGCAGCAAGUUCAUGCUGGUCCUGGCCAGCAACCAGCCCGAGCAGUUCGACUGGGCCGUCAACGACCGCAUCGACGAGAUGGUCAGCUUCGGCCUGCCGCAGCGAGAGGAGCGGGAGCGCCUGGUGAGAAUGUAUUUUGACAAGCAUGUUCUUAAGCCGGCCACGGAAGGAAAGCAGGGCCUUAAGGAAAUCCUGCGCCCGGAGCCACACCCAGGCCUGCACGGCAGGUGAUGGCUGAUGGCGGACGCCUUUGGAGGGAGACGCUUGGCUUCAGCCUUCAGACUCCCCAAAACCGGCAGGUGGUUAGAGAAGAAGCCCCUGGGCACCCCCGCCCCGCUCACCCUGAGUCUGCACGAGCAGAGCUGCUCUAUUUCCAGCCCUCUCCAGGGGAUGCGGUCACAGCGCCGCACUCACGUCCUUGUGUGUGCCUGACCCACAUCCCUCCUGUUGUAGCGAUGACAGAAGCUGCUCUCUGUUCUAGAAAGGACUUGGCUCACCCCACCGUUCCCUCUGCCGCUGCCUGUGGGUGCCUGUGAGCCCCACUCUCUGGCCUUUGGGUUCCCUUUGCUCGUCUUCCGUUUGCCGCAGCUCCCACUCUCCCGCCCGGUUGCUGCCCCAACACCUAGCCCGGCUUCUGUGACCUUCUCACAAAGGCUUCCUUGGCCUUCAGUCAGACUUCGUUGCUGGGGUGGGUGGGGUGUUCUCCGUGUGGUCAGCGUCACUGUCGGGUGAGGACUGGACUGCCGUGCGCUGUUGGGUGCAGUGUAGGGGGGUCUCGGGGCUGACCCCCCACCGACCUGCCCCCAGGCCCCCCAGGGGCUCCAGGAGGAAGGAAGAGCCCACUGUGUCGGGAAGGAGGGUGGGGGUGUUGGGCAGGGUUUGGCUCCCCAGGCACAGUCCCCCCAAUCCUAGCACAGGAGGGGGCCUGGUGCCUGUCUUCCUGCCCCGCGCCACGUGGGAGUCUGGCGACCUCAGGCCCCAGCCCCAGGCCCCACUUGGGAACUCCUCCUCCAGGCGCUUGAAGCUGGCCCAGUUUGACUACGGGAGGAAGUGCUCGGAGAUCGCCCGGCUGACGGAGGGCAUGUCGGGCCGCGAGAUCGCCCAGCUUGCGGUGGCGUGGCAGGCCAUGGCCUACGCCUCCGAGGACGGGGUCCUCACCGAGGCCAUGAUGGACGCCCGCGUGCAGGACGCGCUGCAGCAGCACCAGCAGAAGAUGCGGUGGCUGAAGGCCGCGGGGCCCGGGCCCGAGG